AUUGAACGCUGGCGGCAUGCUUUACACAUGCAAGUCGAACGGUAACAGGCGGCACGUUCCUGUCGAGUGGCGGCGGGGGGAGUAAUGCUACCACAUGUGCACCGUCCCGGGGGGUCUGUACUCACUACAGUAGCCCAUACCUCAUACGAUCUAAGAUUGUAAGCGGGGGACCUUAAGACUUAGCGCCGUUGUUGCGGCCGAUGUCAGAUUAGUUAGUUGGUGGGGUAAAGGCUUACCAAGGCAACGAUCUGUAGGUGGUCUGAGAGGAGGACCAGCCACACUGGGACUGAGACACGGCCCAGACUCCUACGGGAGGCAGCAGUGGGGAAUUUUGGACAAUGGGCGAAAGCCUGAUGCAGCAAUGCCGCGUGAAGGAAGAAGGCCUUCGGGUUGUAAACUGCUUUUGUUCGGAACGAAACGGCUCUGGUUAAUACCCGGGGGUAAUGACGGUACCGUAAGAAAAAGCACCGGCUAACUACGUG
rnacentral:rRNA from 1 species